rnacentral:rRNA from 1 species
AUGAACGCUAGCGGCAGGCUUAAUACAUGCAAGUCGAGGGGCAGCACGAAUAGCAAUAUUUGGUGGCGACCGGCGCACGGGUGCGUAACACGUAUACAAUCUACCUAAAACAGGGGGAUAGCCUUUCGAAAGAGAGAUUAAUACCCCGUAAUAAAUUUAAUGGCAUCAUUAGAUUUUGAAAGCUGAGGCGGUUUUAGAUGAGUAUGCGUCUGAUUAGCUAGUUGGUAGUGUAAUGGACUACCAAGGCGACGAUCAGUAGGGGAUCUGAGAGGACUACCCCCCACACUGGUACUGAGACACGGACCAGACUCCUACGGGAGGCAGCAGUAAGGAAUAUUGGUCAAUGGAGGCAACUCUGAACCAGCCAUGCCGCGUGCAGGAAGACGGCCCUAUGGGUUGUAAACUGCUUUUGUACCAGAGAAAACCACUUUACGUGUAGAGUGUUGAUAGUAUGGUAAGAAUAAGCAUCGGCUAACUUCGU